rnacentral:rRNA from 1 species
AUGCCGACUCAGAAGAGCGGUUAUUCGUACUAUGUCAAGCUCGUCGGGGUAAGCGUGGGCGGAAGCCGGGUGUCGGGGGUCACGCCAGAAAUGUUCCGGCGUCUCCAUACUGGGGUAAGCGGGUGCAUCAUCGACAUCGGCACGAAGAUGACGGGGUUCGUCGAUGCGGCGUACGUCCACAUCGAGAAGGCAGUGCGGCUCCACCUACAGCACCACGGGGCGCACUUCGUCCAUCUACAGGGCCACCACUUGUGCGUCCACCAGCCGGCGCCGCACCACGACGUCCUCCCGAGCAUGACGCUGCACUUCGACGGCGACGCGUGGCUUCGGGUCAUGCCGGAGCAUGUGUUCAUGAAGAUCGUCGACGAGGCCGGCCACCAAUACCAGUGCCUUGGCUUGGUCUCCACCAGGCACGUGACGGUCAUCGGCGCCAUGCAACAGAUCAACCAUCGGUUUAUCUUUGACCUCCAGAGGUACCCGACUCUUAGUUUCAAUCCGGAGGCCUGCCACCUAGACGUGCCCCAAGCUAAAUCUUGA